rnacentral:rRNA from 1 species
GAUGAACGCUGGCGGCGUGCUUAACACAUGCAAGUCGAACGGAAAAGCCCAAGUUUGCUUGGGUACUCGAGUGGCGAACGGGUGAGUAACACGUGGGUGAUCUGCCCUGCACUUCGGGAUAAGCCUGGGAAACUGGUUCUAAUACCGGAUAGGAGCACAUUUUGGAGGGUGUGGUGGAAAGUUUUUCGGUGUGGGUUGAGCUGGCGGCCUAUCAGCAUGUUGGUGGGGUAAUGGCCUACCAAGGCGUCGGCGGGUAGUCGGCCAGGGGGGGUGUACGGCCGCAUUGGGGCUGAGGGGCGGCCCAGACUCCUACGGGAGGCAGCAGUGGGGAAUAUUGCACCAUGGGCGCAAGCCUGGUGCAGCGACGCCGCGUGGGGGAUGACGGCCUUCGGUUUGUAAACUCCUUUCGCUAGGGACGAAGCGUUAUGUGACGGUACCUGGAGAAGAAGCACCGGCUAACUACGUG